rnacentral:rRNA from 1 species
UGUUCUUUAAAUGGGGACUAGUAUGAAUGGCAUCACGAGGGUCAAACUGUCUCCUUUUUCUAAUCAGUGAAACUAAUCUCCCCGUGAAGAAGCGGGGAUUAGCUUAUAAGACGAGAAGACCCUAUGGAGCUUAAAACAAAUUUACACUUGCUUUUAUACAUUCACCUUCCUGAACAUUCACAUAAAAUUUAGCACAACUGAUAAUUAGUUUUCGAUUGGGGUGAUCAUGGAGAAAAAAAUAACCUCCACAACGAUAAGGGAACCCCCCUGAGCCAAAAGCCACAACUUUAAGCACUAAAAAAUUAACGCACCUUGACCCAAUUACUUGAUCAAUGAACCAAGUUACCCUAGGGAUAACAGCGCAAUCCACUUCAAGAGCUCCUAUCGACAAGUGGGCUUACGACCUCGAUGUUGGAUCA